AUGCGCAAGGAGCGUGGUCGAGCGCAGCCUCAGUAACACCGAGUCUCAGCGGCUUUCAGAGCCCGAAUCAAAGCCGCCGGGCUUCGCGGACGUGCGGCGUGGGACCCGGGGGACGGCAUUAGAUCCCCUGCUCUUCCUGAUACAUAUUGUUGACCUACUGGUUGGUGUAUGGGACACCAUUUCAAAAUUAGCGGAUGACAUGGAACUUGGAGGUAUUGUGAACUGUGAGGAGGAUAGUGUUAAACUUCAAAAGGACAUAAGCAUAUUGGUGAAAUGGGCCGAUAAGUUCGACCUCAGAAUGACCCGGGGCCGGCCCUGGGGAGCAUGCGCACUCUCAAUGCCGGGGAAGUCAGUGCAUUUGAUAGAGCGGUUUCUCGGAUGCAGGGAAUUGUGGGAAGUGCAGCCACCAUGGGCAGAUGUUAAUUGCCACUAUCCACAUGAUGCUGCCAGUGAAUUGUUGCAGGUGUUGCUCAGAAGCAAGGUCAGAAACUCAAACUGACAAAUGAAGAACACUUUUGAAGCAGAAAGGAUGUUGGACGUGGAAGCCGUUCCUCGCUUACUUUGAAGGACAUCUGUUGGGGAGCUCAGCCUGGCUGCACAACCCCACUUCACACCACCGCGAACAGAGCACAGAGCGGAAGACACACAGAGAAGCAGUAAGACAUGACCAGGUCACACAAAGACAGGCACAAAAAACUGCCUGUCAAACUAGGGAAGAAACUGAGAUGGAGAAACUGAUCAUUUAUGAUGAAAGAUAUUUGCUGUUGCAUGAAGAUCGGCCCUUUUUAAAAUAUAUUUCCUGUUGUGUAACUGUGCUUUCUGCUGUACAACUGUUCUCUCUGUCGUGGAACUGUGACAGACCUUCACUGUGGCUGUGUAAAAUGCUUCCCUGUUGUGCCAAUAUGUUCCUGGCUGUGUAAAAGCGCGACAUGUUUAGUAAAAGUGUUUUCUCUUGUGU